rnacentral:tRNA from 1 species
GGUGAUGUGGCUCUUUGGUGGAGCACUUGACUAUCAAUUAUGGGGCUCUGGGUUCAGUUCCCAGCACCACAA